UAGGGAAUCUUCGGCAAUGGGGGGAACCCUGACCGAGCAACGCCGCGUGAGUGAAGAAGGUUUUCGGAUCGUAAAGCUCUGUUGUUAAGGAAGAACGAGUGUGAGAAUGGAAAGUUCAUGCUGUGACGGUACUUAACCAGAAAGGGACGGCUAACUACGUGCCAGCAGCCGCGGUAAUACGUAGGUCCCGAGCGUUGUCCGGAUUUAUUGGGCGUAAAGCGAGCGCAGGCGGUUAGAAAAGUCUGAAGUGAAAGGCAGUGGCUCAACCAUUGUAGGCUUUGGAAACUGUUUAACUUGAGUGCAGAAGGGGAGAGUGGAAUUCCAUGUGUAGCGGUGAAAUGCGUAGAUAUAUGGAGGAACACCGGUGGCGAAAGCAGCUCUCUGGGCUGUAACUGACGCUGAGGCUCGAAAGCGUGGGGAGCGAACAGG
rnacentral:rRNA from 1 species